AUGAACGCUAGCUACAGGCUUAACACAUGCAAGUCGAGGGGCAGCAUGAGAGUAGCUUGCUACUCUUGAUGGCGACCGGCGCACGGGUGCGUAACACGUAUCCAAUCUACCCAUGGCUCGGGAAUAGCCUUUCGAAAGAAAGAUUAAUGCCCGAUGGUCUGUGAUUGAGACAUCUCGAUGACAGUAAAGAUUAAUCGGCGAUGGAUGAGGAUGCGUCUGAUUAGGUAGUAGGCGGGGUAACGGCCCACCUAGCCGACGAUCAGUAGGGGUUCUGAGAGGAAGGUCCCCCACAUUGGAACUGAGACACGGUCCAAACUCCUACGGGAGGCAGCAGUGAGGAAUAUUGGUCAAUGGGCGCGAGCCUGAACCAGCCAAGUAGCGUGAAGGGAUGACUGCCCUAUGGGUUGUAAACCUCUUUUGUUUGGGAAUAAAGUGAGUCACGUGUGGCUUUUUGUAUGUACCAUACGAAUAAGCAUCGGCUAAUUCCGUGCCAGCCGCCGC
rnacentral:rRNA from 1 species